AGCUUGCUCCUCUGACGUUAGCGGCGGACGGGUGAGUAACACGUGGAUAACCUACCUAUAAGACUGGGAUAACUUCGGGAAACCGGAGCUAAUACCGGAUAAUAUAUUGAACCGCAUGGUUCAAUAGUGAAAGACGGUUUUGCUGUCACUUAUAGAUGGAUCCGCGCCGCAUUAGCUAGUUGGUAAGGUAACGGCUUACCAAGGCAACGAUGUGUAGCCGACCUGAGAGGGUGAUCGGCCACACUGGAACUGAGACACGGUCCAGACUCCUACGGGAGGCAGCAGUAGGGAAUCUUCCGCAAUGGGCGAAAGCCUGACGGAGCAACGCCGCGUGAGUGAUGAAGGUCUUCGGAUCGUAAAACUCUGUUAUUAGGGAAGAACAUAUGUGUAAGUAACUAUGCACGUCUUGACGGUACCUAAUCAGAAAGCCACGGCUAACUACGUGCCAGCAGCCGCGGUAAUACGUAGGUGGCAAGCGUUAUCCGGAAUUAUUGGGCGUAAAGCGCGCGUAGGCGGUUUUUUAAGUCUGAUGUGAAAGCCCACGGCUCAACCGUGGAGGGUCAUUGGAAACUGUAAAGCUUGAGUGCAGAAGAGGAAAGUGGAAUUCCAUGUGUAGCGGUGAAAUGCGCAGAGAUAUGGAGGAACACCAGUGGCGAAGGCGACUUUCUGGUCUGUAACUGACGCUGAUGUGCGAAAGCGUGGGGAUCAAACAGGAUUA
rnacentral:rRNA from 1 species